UCCGUAGGUGAACCUGCGGAGGGAUCAUUACACAAUAUGAAAGCGGGUUGGGACCUCACCUCGGUGAGGGCUCCAGCUUGUCUGAAUUAUUCACCCAUGUCUUUUGCGCACUUCUUGUUUCCUGGGCGGGUUCGCCCGCCACCAGGACCAAACCAUAAACCUUUUUGUAAUUGCAAUCAGCGUCAGUAAACAAUGUAAUUAUUACAACUUUCAACAACGGAUCUCUUGGUUCUGGCAUCGAUGAAGAACGCAGCGAAAUGCGAUACGUAGUGUGAAUUGCAGAAUUCAGUGAAUCAUCGAAUCUUUGAACGCACAUUGCGCCCUUUGGUAUUCCAAAGGGCAUGCCUGUUCGAGCGUCAUUUGUACCCUCAAGCUUUGCUUGGUGUUGGGCGUCUUUGUCUCUCACGAGACUCGCCUUAAAAUGAUUGGCAGCCGACCUACUGGUUUCGGAGCGCAGCACAAUUCUUGCACUUUGAAUCAGCCUUGGUUGAGCAUCCAUCAAGACCACAUUUUUUUCAACUUUUGACCUCGGAUCAGGUAGGGAUACCCGCUGAACUUAAGCAUAUCAAUAAGCCGGAGGAA
rnacentral:rRNA from 1 species